rnacentral:rRNA from 1 species
CAGUAGCCGCGGUAAUACGAAGGGGGCUAGCGUUGUUCGGAAUUACUGGGCGUAAAGGGCGCGUAGGCGGCCAUUCAAGUUAGAUGUGAAAGCCCUGGGCUCAACCUAGGAAUUGCAUUUGAUACUGUUUGGCUUGAGUUCGGGAGAGGUGAGUGGAAUUCCCAGUAUAGAGGUGAAAUUCGUAGAUAUUCGGAGGAACACCAGUGGCGAAGGCGGCUCACUGGUCCAUUACUGACGCUGAGGUGCGAAAGCGUGGGGAGCAAACAGGAUUAGAUACCCCUGUAGUCCCUGUCUCUUAUAC